UACGUAGGGGGCGAGCGUUGUCCGGAAUUACUGGGCGUAAAGGGUGCGUAGGCGGUUGCUUAAGUUGGAUGUGAAAUACCCGGGCUUAACUUGGGGGGUGCAUUCAAAACUGGGCGACUAGAGUUCAGGAGAGGGAAGCGGAAUUCCUAGUGUAGCGGUGAAAUGCGUAGAUAUUAGGAGGAACACCAGUGGCGAAGGCGGCUUUCUGGACUGACACUGACGCUGAGGCACGAAAGCGUGGGGAGCAAACAGG
rnacentral:rRNA from 2 species